UAAUUUUUAAUGAUGUUUUAUAACUCAAUGGAACAAUGGUCUGGACCAACCCUUUACCAAAUGAAUUAGUACCAAGAAUUAAACCUCUAUCGUGGUCUUGAAUAGCACCUGCCACAAUUUCAGAGGCACUGGCAGAACCUUCGUCGAUUAGAACAAUUAGUUUAAUUUCUUGUGCAACCGGUUCUUCCUUCGAAUAGUAAUAUU
rnacentral:ncRNA from 1 species